rnacentral:rRNA from 1 species
AGGAUAAACGCUGGCGGCGUGCCUAACACAUGCAAGUCGAACGCGCUUUCGGGCUUCGGUGCGAGAGCGAGUGGCGGACGGGUGAGUAACACAUGGGUACCUACCUUGGAGUGAGGGAUACCGGCGAGAAAUCGCCGACAAGACCGCAUAGCCCUCUUUGAUGAGAGUCAAAGAAGGAAAGCUUCGCAAGAGGCGCUAGAGGAGGGGCCUGCGUCCGAUUAGCUAGUUGGUGGGGUAAGAGCCUACCAAGGCGUCGAUCGGUAGCUGGUCUGAGAGGACGAUCAGCCACACUGGGAUUGAGAACGGCCCAGACUCCUACGGGGGGCAGCAGUGAGGAAUUUUCGGCAAUGGGGGAAACCCUGACCGAGCAACGCCGCGUGCAGGAAGACGGCCUUCGGUUGUAAACUGCUUUUCUUGGGUAAGAGAACGGACGGUACCAGAGGAAUCAGCCCCGGCUCACUACGUGCCAGCAGCCGCGGUAA